rnacentral:rRNA from 1 species
AACAAACGCUGGCGGCGUGUCUUAAGCAUGCAAGUCGAGGGGCAGCACGAGGUAGCAAUACUUUGGUGGCGACCGGCAGACGGGUGAGUAACGCGUAUGUAACCUACCUUGUACAGGGGGAUAACCCGGAGAAAUUCGGACUAAUAUCCCAUGGAAAUAUUGAGAGGCAUCUUUUGAUAUUUAAAGUUCCGGCGGUACGGGAUGGGCAUGCGUAACAUUAGCUAGUUGGUAAGGUAACGGCUUACCAAGGCUUUGAUGUUUAGGGGUCCUGAGAGGGUGGUCCCCCACACUGGUACUGAGACACGGACCAGACUCCUACGGGAGGCAGCAGUGAGGAAUAUUGGUCAAUGGGCGCAAGCCUGAACCAGCCAUCCCGCGUGCAGGAAGACGGCCCUAUGGGUUGUAAACUGCUUUUCCAGGGGGAGAAACUUGCGUACGCGUUGCGCAAUUGACGGUACCCUGGGAAUAAGCAUCGGCUAACUCCGUG